AACGAACGCUGGCGGCAUGCCUAACACAUGCAAGUCGAACGAGACCUUCGGGUCUAGUGGCGCACGGGUGCGUAACGCGUGGGAACCUGCCCUUAGGUUCGGAAUAACUCCCCGAAAGGGGUGCUAAUACCGGAUAAUGUCUUCGGACCAAAGAUUUAUCGCCUUUGGAUGGGCCCGCGUUGGAUUAGCUAGUUGGUAGGGUAAAAGCCUACCAAGGCGACGAUCCAUAGCUGGUCUGAGAGGAUGAUCAGCCACACUGGGACUGAGACACGGCCCAGACUCCUACGGGAGGCAGCAGGGGGGAAAUUGGGAAAAGGGGCGAAAGCCUGAUCCAGCAAUGCCGGGGGAGGGAGAAAGGCCUUAGGGUUGUAAAGCUUUUUUCCCCGGGAUGAUAAUGACAGUACCGGGAGAAUAAGCCCCGGCUAACUCCGU
rnacentral:rRNA from 1 species